CAAUAGCCCCGAUAGAGCCGAUAUCCCGUUCUGUCUUGUUUUUUGUACAAGACAGAACGGAUAAAGGGGAAAGCGGGACAAAAA
rnacentral:sRNA from 1 species